UUGAAGUCUUAGAAAUGGGAACACUGCUUCUCCUCUUCAGAAUAGGCUUCUGAAUUUUAAAUCCCUGAAAGACAAGCAACAAGCUCAACUAAAGUAGACAAGCCUCAGGUAGGAGCUUGUGUUCCAUCACUGUCUGGAUUAGAGCCAAAGGGAACAUGGCAUACUCUAAAGAUGGGAGGGAGGCCUUGAAGCUGGGCCUAAUAUUGUACACUCACAUCAGGGAUGCUUCUGGAACCAAC